AAAAACAACAAAUGAUGGAAUAAUGUGUUACCAUUGUGUUGUAUUCUUAUAAUUGAUCUAUGUCUUUUUUUCUUUCGUUU
rnacentral:ribozyme from 13 species